GGGGGCGCCGCAGUCCCCGGGAGCAGCAACGGUGACAGGAGGGGCCUCGGAUUUCUUGAGUUUCAGGAGGUAGAUAGACAAAUAGAUAGAUGAAAUAGGUCGAAGCUAAAUCGUGAGUUUAUGGGGUAUAUGCCUGGUGUGCAUGAUCACUUUUCUGUGUUGUGUUGCCCCUCUUCUGUUGUUGUCAACCUCAGGACCAGGCUGUUGGCGUGUACUGGUCAUGGUGUGGGGGAGGUGGUGGUUGCAGGUCGUGCACAGUCGGAGAGUGUGUCUGUCUGUUUGCCGCAUGCACAUACAUACAGAUUACUGACAGUCGUACAUGUGACGUGUGCAACUCUCAAGGUUGGCAGGGACGGAGGAGAUCGCUACAAGACUAUGGCGUGUUUCUGUUCGCCCGCUUUUUCUGUACAGCAUGUGAAUUUACAGGUGUGCAGUGUCCGAUAGCAGUGCACAAGCGUUUAAGAUGUCGGGGUGAUGUUUACAUAUUGCAUGUAUGUAUGUAAUGUAUGUAUGUAAUGUAUGUAUGACGUUGAUUACACUGUGGGCUGAAAAGCCGGGGGCCCAGGGCCGAAACACAGCGCGGGGGGCGGGUAUGUAUGUAUGUAUGUAUGUAUGUAUGUAUGUAUGUUGUUUUUUGUAUCCAUCUAAGGAAGCUCCUUACUGCUCUACUCCCUGUAGUGGGUGACGAAGAAGAGGGUUUGGGGCUUUAGGGUAUGUACUAUGUACGUAUGCAUAUGUCGUACAUGUAACGGCAUUCCGUCCGUACCAUGCAUGUGAUUCAUGGUUAUCCACGAGAAGCGUUGAAGGGCGAAUGUAAACACCACCACCUGCCCCCGCGCUGCCCGAUGUGUUGUGGGCGGUACGUACGUACGGGCAACAUGGCACGGAUUCCCCCCAACCGCCUUCCCC
rnacentral:lncRNA from 1 species